rnacentral:rRNA from 1 species
CAACGCCGCGUGGGUGAUGAAGGCCUUCGGGUCGUAAAGCCCUUUUGUCGGGGACGAAAUCUGACGGUACCCGACCAAGAAGCCACGGCUAACUACGUGC